AUGGGACUCGGCAAGACCAUGCAGGUUUCUGCCUUCUUGGCAGGGUUGUUCCAUUCCGGUUUGAUCAGGAGGGCGCUAGUUGUCGCCCCUAAGACACUUCUCACUCAAUGGAUCAAGGAGCUUUCGGUUGUCGGCCUCAGCCACAUGAUCUACGAGUACUAUGGUUCCAACAUGAAUAUUCGUGAUAAUGAGCUUCAACAUGCCUUCAAGGAGGGAGGUAUCGUAUUGACAACAUAUGAUAUUGUCCGGAUCAAUUACCAUCUAAUAAGAGGUGACUUCUAUAAUGAUGCCGGCGACGAGGAGGAGGAGGACUUUUGGAAUUAUGUUGUUCUUGAUGAGGCACAUUAUAUCAAGAACCCCAAUACACAAAGAGCCCAAAGCUUAUUUGAAAUAUCUUGUGUCCAUCGGAUUGCCAUUAGUGGAACACCUAUUCAAAAUAACUUGAUGGUUCAGAACAAGGAAUUAAGAGAACGGAUAAAGCCAUAUUUCUUGCGACGCAUGAAAAGUAAAGUGUCCCUUGAGACUGGGUUGACAGGUGAUAAAAAGCUUCCAAAGAAGGAUGAGCUAAUUAUCUGGCUGAAAUUAACAGAUUGCCAGAGACGUCUAUAUAAAGCUUUUCUUAACAGUGAGCUAGUUCAAUUUGAAUCGGAAGGAAAUCCCUUGGCUGCUCUUAAUGUAUUGAAAAAAAUAUGUGAUCACCCACUGAUAUUAACUCAGAGAGCUGCUGAGGACAUCUUGGAAGGCAUGGAUGGAGAUUUUAGUACUCGGGAUAUAGUGAUGGUUGAAAAAAUGGCCAUGAACCUCACAGAUAUGGCUCAUGAUGAUGAUGCAGUACAAUUCAGUCAGGAAGUCUCAUGCAAGUUAUCUUUUAUCCUGUCUUUGUUGCCGAAUCUUCUUGAAGAGGGCCACCAUGUUCUGAUAUUUUCUCAGACUCGUAAAAUGCUAAACUUUAUUCAGGUCUGUUGUCAAUUCUUGGAGUGCAUGCCGUGUUUUUGUGAUAUACUAUAA
rnacentral:rRNA from 1 species